rnacentral:ncRNA from 1 species
CUUAUCGAGAGUGAUGGAGGGACUGGCCCGACGAAAUCCGGCAACCUACUGAUGUAAGGUGCUAAAUCCAGAGGAACGAUCCGAAGAUGAG